rnacentral:rRNA from 1 species
UACGUACGGGAGGCAGCAGUGAGGAAUAUUGGUCAAUGGACGGAAGUCUGAACCAGCCAAGUAGCGUGCAGGAUGACGGCCCUCCGGGUUGUAAACUGCUUUUAGUUGGGAAUAAAAGAGGGACGUGUCCCUUAUUGUAUGUACCUUCAGAAAAGGACCGGCUAAUUCCGUGCCAGCAGCCGCGGUAAUCGUA